UCUUAAUUCUAUGGACCCAAACCUUAAAUUUUGAUUUGAAAUUGAAUUGUAAAUAGUCCAUGGUCGAAACUAGAGUAUUUAUAAUGUAAUGUAAGAGAUCAAUGGUUUAAAUUUUAAUAGCGCUCAUCCAAAAAUUUCAGACAUAAAAAAUAAAAAGAACUUGGUUUAGAAGGAGAAUACCAAGAUGCCACGCCUGAUGCCAAGUUGUCAGUGUGAUGUAGCUUUAGGUAUAGGCUGGGUAGCGAUCAAAGAUCAGAAUUGCCGUAUUUAUUUGCACAGGAACUAGCGGCGCAGGAGACCCGAACCUAUAGAUAUAUGGUAAAGAUUUGAGAAGAUUAAAAAAGAGGUAGCCGGGGGUACAGCAUAGUAUGCUUGGCGCAACAGCAACUCCUUAGAAUGCAGUAUUAAAGAAAAUGUGUACAUUUUGCCUCUCCGAUACUACCCUCUAAAUAUGGAAAAAUAAUAUCACCAUAAUAUUUUAUGGCCUUCUUUGUCAGCUGAUCUUAUUCUUUCAACAAUUUCUAAGAGCUUAAAAUUUUCCACUUCCCUUUGAAUUUGAACACCCACACAUUAUUUCCUUAUGAUGCAGGAGCUAAAGCAGCCUUCCGUUUUUGCUCUUCCAUGUUAGCCUUUAUGAGAGAGUAGAUGGCAACACCUGCAAUGGCUAUUGCAGUACCAAUUCCAGUUUGAGUGGAAAUUCUAUUGCCAAAUACAACAAUGGAGAAUCCAAUGACAAAAACUCGCUUCAACACAUUUCCAACAGCAUGCGUAAGUGGUGCAACUCGUUCCAAAGUAUUUGUGGCAACCUGGUUAUACAGAUGAUAAAACAGUCCAAUCCAAAACAAAUCAGACACAAACUUAAAUAAUCCCACUUUGGCAAUUGCACCUCUGAAACCAUACUGCAUCAGCUGAGGGCCCUCUAUUAGUACUGCUGGAGGGAUGCAAAACAAGAGGGCAAUUAUUGAAAUGUAAGCAUACACAUUUGUGCUGUCCAUACCAGUCAUUGCUUUUUUUGAAUAGAUACUUCUGUAGGUAAAAGCAAUGUUUGAAAUCAUUGCACUUAUGAACCCAGUCCAGUUGAAGGAAAGUUCAGUCAAUGACGCCAUUGAUACACCAAUAACUACUGGAGCCAAUGACAACCAUAGGGACAAUGGAAUUUGGUGCCCAAGGACAAAUUGAGAAGCAGCAGCAUUGAAGAAGGGCUCAAGCGCUUUGAUUGUGUGGGUGAACGAGACAGCAACUGCUGCAAAUGAGACAUUACUGGUCACAUGGCCUAUUGCGUGACA
rnacentral:misc_RNA from 1 species